rfam:Myotis davidii contig154989, whole genome shotgun sequence.
GACUGCUCUUGAGUGGCACACCCUGGAAUCAGGCUCCCUCCUCUCUGGUUCUAGGUGUGUCACCUGAGAACCACA